GCAAGAAUAACUCAGUUGGUAGAGUGCGACCUUGCCAAGGUCGAUGCCGAGGGUUCGAGUCCCUUUUCUUGCU
rnacentral:tRNA from 1 species